rnacentral:rRNA from 1 species
AUACGGAGGAUGCGAGCGUUAUCCGGAUUUAUUGGGUUUAAAGGGAGCGUAGGUGGGAUAUUAAGUCAGCUGUGAAAGUUUGGGGCUCAACCUUAAAAUUGCAGUUGAUACUGGUUUCCUUGAGUACGGUACAGGUGGGCGGGAUUCGUGGUGUAGCGGUGAAAUGCUUAGAUAUCACGAAGAACUCCGAUCGCGAAGGCAGCUCACCGGGCCGGAACUGACACUGAUGCUCGAAAGUGCGGGUAUCAAACAGGAUUAGAUACCCUGGUAGUCCGCACAGUAAACGAUGAAUACUCGCUGUUUGCGAUACACGGUAAGCGGCCAAGCGAAAGCGUUAAGUAUUCCACCUGGGGAGUACGCCGGCAACGGUGAAACUCAAAUGAAUUGACGGGG